GGAGUUUGGUUCUGAAAAGGGUAUGAUUUAUUUUGAUUUUAAUAUAAAUUGAUAUGACCAUUUAAUUGGGUGGUAAUGAGUUUUAAUGACUUUAAAUUCUUGAUGGUAGAAUCAAGCCUAUAAAUAGUCUUUGCUCCCCAAAGCUUUCUCUCAUCACAAAAGAAAUACACCAUCUAUAUUGAGAGAGCAAGAGCUUGGAAGAAUCAAAGGCAGUGCACUCACAACACUGCAACAAUG
rnacentral:lncRNA from 1 species